rnacentral:rRNA from 1 species
AGAGCUUGCUCUCUGGGUGGCGAGUGGCGGACGGGUGAGGAAUACAUCGGAAUCUACUCUGUCGUGGGGGAUAACGUAGGGAAACUUACGCUAAUACCGCAUACGACCUACGGGUGAAAGCAGGGGAUCUUCGGACCUUGCGCGAUUGAAUGAGCCGAUGUCGGAUUAGCUAGUUGGCGGGGUAAAGGCCCACCAAGGCGACGAUCCGUAGCUGGUCUGAGAGGAUGAUCAGCCACACUGGAACUGAGACACGGUCCAGACUCCUACGGGAGGCAGCAGUGGGGAAUAUUGGACAAUGGGCGCAAGCCUGAUCCAGCCAUACCGCGUGGGUGAAGAAGGCCUUCGGGUUGUAAAGCCCUUUUGUUGGGAAAGAAAUCCAGCUGGUUAAUACCCGGUUGGGAUGACGGUACCCAAAGAAUAAGCACCGGCUAACUCUGUGCCAGCAGCCGCGGUAAUACAGAGGGUGCGAGCGUUAAUCGGAUUUACUGGGCGUAAAGCGUGCGUAGGCGGCUUUUUAAGUCGGAUGUGAAAUCCCUGAGCUUAACUUAGGAAUUGCAUUCGAUACUGGGAAGCUAGAGUAUGGGAGAGGAUGGUAGAAUUCCAGGUGUAGCGGUGAAAUGCGUAGAGAUCUGGAGGAAUACCGAUGGCGAAGGCAGCCAUCUGGCCUAAUACUGACGCUGAGGUACGAAAGCAUGGGGAGCAAACAGGAUUAGAUACCCUGGUAGUCCAUGCCGUAAACGAUGUCUACUAGCCGUUGGGGCCUUUGAGGCUUUAGUGGCGCAGCUAACGCGAUAAGUAGACCGCCUGGGGAGUACGGUCGCAAGACUAAAACUCAAAUGAAUUGACGGGGGCCCGCACAAGCGGUGGAGCAUGUGGUUUAAUUCGAUGCACCGCGAAGAACCUUACCUGGUCUUGACAUAGUAAGAACUUUCCAGAGAUGGAUUGGUGCCUUCGGGAACUUACAUACAGGUGCUGCAUGGCUGUCGUCAGCUCGUGUCGUGAGAUGUUGGGUUAAGUCCCGCAACGAGCGCAACCCUUUUCCUUAUUUGCCAGCGGGUUAAGCCGGGAACUUUAAGGAUACUGCCAGUGACAAACUGGAGGAAGGCGGGGACGACGUCAAGUCAUCAUGGCCCUUACGACCAGGGCUACACACGUGCUACAAUGGUCGGUACAAAGGGUUGCUACCUAGCGAUAGGAUGCUAAUCUCAAAAAGCCGAUCGUAGUCCGGAUUGGAGUCUGCAACUCGACUCCAUGAAGUCG